UUCAGUCCCGAGCGCCCGCGGCUCCCCGAAAGGCAGGCGCAGACGGCGCGGGAUCCAGGUGCGGCGGACGCCCGGAUGCUUCUGGCUGCUUCCGCCGUCCCAUGCUGCUGGAAAGGCGGGCGACGCGGCGCCAGGGACCGCUGCCCUCCCCUUCGGUGGGCACCGCGGAGAGGAGGAGCCCUUAAAGGCGCAGGGAGCCCGAGCCGGACGGAGGGGGGGGGGCGUCACCCCCGUGGAUCCCCUCCUUUCUAUCAGACGGGACUGGAGAGGGAGGUGUCUGCAGGGAGUCCCUGGACACCCUCCACGGCGACCGCGGUCUCUUACAUCUUUGCGCCGCUGCCGCCCCUUUCCCCAGCCUUGCAAAUCCUCUGCCACAGAAGGCUAGUCUUCCCACGGGUCUGGAGAAAGCCUACUUUGCAAAGUUGUUGUAAGAAUCACGAGUAGGUGAAAGCCCCCUGUGGAGACAGAAAUGGCACUGAAACAAAGGAGAAUGCUUCCCCCUGAGACCUGGACGUCGCCUCGGAAAGUAGGAAACUGGCCGAGCACAGCAAGAGGUUUGACAAGGUCUUCCAAGCUUCCAGAGAGUUAUGUUCUUACAGAGGUCUAUUCUGCAAGACAUGAUUUCUUUUAGACAAGGCCCUUGUGCCGGAGGGACACAGCUGUAGGAAUCACUAUCACUAGGUUGGGCUGCUGGCCUCAAGUGUUGGCGGAAAAGACCAGGUGGUGAAAAGCCAAAGGGGAGAGUCCUUCUAGAGAGUCUCAAUUCUGAAGACGGGAACAAACCGUGCAAUCCUGAUUUACAUCCUUCUAAACCCAUUGACUUAGAUGGACUUAGCACUGUGUGACUCUGCCUUGGAUAGCACUGACAGGGACUUCAGAACACAUCUGCUGUGCAGCUUGUAAAGGAAUUGCAACACCGAAUUAGGUGUCAAAAUAAUAAAGGAUAUUUCUGGCGGGGGGAUAUUUCAGCUUUCACGGCAGAUGCCUUCCCCAGACAGUUAUGGUGUGUAUUGCUUACACUGCAUAUGGUUUACAUAGGACUGUCAACGACUUGGAGAAAGAAUGUGUUGCUCCUUUAAUUUAGCCUUAAUAUGUGCAAAUGGGCAAGAAAUGCAUUUUCAUGGCAUAAAGUUAAGUAAUGUCACCUAACAAUACGUACGUUUGUACCUUCAAGUUGCAGAUGACUUAUGAUGACCCCAGCAAGAAACUUUCAAGGCAAGUGAGAAGCAGAGGUGGUUUGCCAGUGCCACUGACUUCCUCUGUAGAGGCUUCCUUGGUGGUCUGCCAUCCAAGUACCAACCCUGCAGGCUAUACCAUGCUGCCUUUCUUCCCAAUCUACUAAAUACCUUCCCAUUUUUCUUCAGACUGUUGGCAGCCCGAGGUUUGCACUGCUCUUAAUCUAUUAGCAUUCAUGAAUGAUAUUUCACGGAUCUGUUUUAUUUUAUGUAGCUUUAAUUCUUUUGCAUCUAAAAUGUUUUAAUUGGUUUUAAUCCUUUUUAAAAAAAUUAUUCCACAAAAAAAAAACAACCCUUGGCAAUAUUCUAUUUUAAAAGAGCUUUGAAAUAUCAAGAGUUUUCAUGCUACUGAACACAUUCUCUUGACAGCGGACAGUGUCAGCACAAAUAUGCCCCCCUACCCCCCAAGCUGUCAUUUUCACCAGGGAAACUAAUCUGUGUAGUCGGGAGAACGGUCGUAAUUCUAGGAGAUCUCCAGCCACCACCUGGAGAUUGGCAACCUGAACUCAUACCUUAUUUCCUAAAAGCAUGUGACUCUCCUUAUCAAUCACCAGGUCACUGGCUGCUCUAGCAUGCUCGUGAAACCCAAGCUGCAGGAAGUAUUCUUGAUCUAAUGUUGGAUUCUGGGAGGUCUGGAGUAAAAUCCAUUGCCUCCCAGCCAUUAUCUCCAGGGAAAUUGAUCUCUCCAGUCUGGAGAUUAGUUAUAAUUCUGGGAUAUUUCCAGCCCCACCAGGAGGCUGGCAUCACUAAAAGUAACACGAGUUUAAUAAUUUGGGAUCUAGAGAACCAGAAGGUCCAGAGAACCAUGAGCCGAGAACAACUCACAAAAUAUGUUUUGCCAGUUUCCUUUGGUUCCUGCAGCCUCUUUCCCACAAAGCAUGGGAUACAGUAUGGGGGCUGUUGCAUGAAGUAGAAAUCAGUGGAGAUCACCCCACACAUUGUUGCAUGAGUUUCUAUUCUGUGUGUGCAAAAGUUUGUACAAGAAUGUCAAGUAAGUGUGCAUAGGAUCGCAGCCUUCACAAUAUUUAAGUGCCCAAAAUAUCUCUGUUUAUAAAUAUGAAUAAACAAAGAAUGUGGUGCAUA